rnacentral:rRNA from 1 species
AUUGAACGCUGGCGGCAUGCUUUACACAUGCAAGUCGAACGGCAGCGCGGGGCAACCUGGCGGCGAGUGGCGAACGGGUGAGUAAUACAUCGGAACGUACCCAGAAGUGGGGGAUAACGUAGCGAAAGUUACGCUAAUACCGCAUACGUUCUACGGAAGAAAGUGGGGGAUCGCAAGACCUCAUGCUUUUGGAGCGGCCGAUGUCUGAUUAGCUAGUUGGUGAGGUAAAGGCUCACCAAGGCGACGAUCAGUAGCUGGUCUGAGAGGACGACCAGCCAAACUGGGACUAAGACACGGCCCAGACUCCUACGGGAGGCAGCAGUGGGGAAUUUUGGACAAUGGGCGCAAGCCUGAUUCAGCAAUGCCGCGUGAGUGAAGAAGGCCUUCGGGUUGUAAAGCUCUUUUGUCAGGGAGGAAACGGCUGAGGUUAAUACCUUCGGCUAAUGACGGUACCUGAAGAAUAAGCACCGGCUAACUACGUGCCAGCCGCCGCGGUAA